rnacentral:rRNA from 1 species
UAUUGCACAAUGGGGGAAACCCUGAUGCAGCAAUGCCGCGUGAGCGUAGAAGUAUUUCGGUAUGUAAAGCUCUAUCAGCAGGGAAGAAGAUGUCGGUACCUGACUAAGAAGCUCCGGCUAACUACGUGUCAGCAGCCGCGGUAAUACGUAGGGGGCAAGCGUUAUCCGGAAUUACUGGGUGUAAAGGGAGCGUAGACGGUGAUGUAAGUCUGGAGUGAAAGGCGGGGGCCCAACCCCCGGACUGCUCUGGAAACUAUGUGACUGGAGUGCAGGAGAGGUGAGCGGAAUUCCUAGUGUAGCGGUGAAAUGCGUAGAUAUUAGGAGGAACACCAGUGGCGAAGACGGCUCACUGGACUGUAACUGACGUUGAGGCUCGAAAGCGUGGGGAGCAAACAGG